rnacentral:rRNA from 1 species
CGAUGAAGCCGCUUCGGUGGUGGAUUAGUGGCGAACGGGUGAGUAACACGUGGGCAAUCUGCCCUUCACUCUGGGACAAGCCCUGGAAACGGGGUCUAAUACCGGAUAACACUCUGUCCCGCAUGGGACGGGGUUGAAAGCUCCGGCGGUGAAGGAUGAGCCCGCGGCCUAUCAGCUUGUUGGUGGGGUAAUGGCCUACCAAGGCGACGACGGGUAGCCGGCCUGAGAGGGCGACCGGCCACACUGGGACUGAGACACGGCCCAGACUCCUACGGGAGGCAGCAGUGGGGAAUAUUGCACAAUGGGCGAAAGCCUGAUGCAGCGACGCCGCGUGAGGGAUGACGGCCUUCGGGUUGUAAACCUCUUUCAGCAGGGAAGAAGCGAAAGUGACGGUACCUGCAGAAGAAGCGCCGGCUAACUACGUGCCAGCAGCCGCGGUAAUACGUAGGGCGCAAGCGUUGUCCGGAAUUAUUGGGCGUAAAGAGCUCGUAGGCGGCUUGUCACGUCGGAUGUGAAAGCCCGGGGCUUAACCCCGGGUCUGCAUUCGAUACGGGCUAGCUAGAGUGUGGUAGGGGAGAUCGGAAUUCCUGGUGUAGCGGUGAAAUGCGCAGAUAUCAGGAGGAACACCGGUGGCGAAGGCGGAUCUCUGGGCCAUUACUGACGCUGAGGAGCGAAAGCGUGGGGAGCGAACAGGAUUAGAUACCCUGGUAGUCCACGCCGUAAACGUUGGGAACUAGGUGUUGGCGACAUUCCACGUCGUCGGUGCCGCAGCUAACGCAUUAAGUUCCCCGCCU